CGGGUAGAGUAACACGUAAACAACCUGCCUUCAGGAUGGGGACAACAGACGGAAACGACUGCUAAUACCGAAUAAGUUCCAAGAGCCGCAUGGCCCAUGGAAGAAAAGGUGGCCUCUACCUGUAAGCUAUCGCCUGAAGAGGGGUUUGCGUCUGAUUAGCUGGUUGGAGGGGUAACGGCCCACCAAGCCGACGAUCAGUAGCCGACCUGAGAGGGUGACCGGCCACAUUGGGACUGAGACACGGCCCAAACUCCUACGGGAGGCAGCAUG
rnacentral:rRNA from 1 species